rnacentral:misc_RNA from 1 species
GAUGAAGAACGUAGCGAAAUGCGAUACGUAAUGUGAAUUGCAGAAUUCAGUGAAUCAUCGAAUCUUUGAACGCAUAUUGCGCUCUCUGGUAUUCCGGAGAGCAUGCUUGUUUGAGUAUCAGUAAACACCUCAACUCCCUUUUCUUUUUUGAAAUUGGAGCUGGACUUGAGUGAUCCCAACGCUUUCUUCCAAGAAAGUGGCGGGUUGCUUGAAAUGCAGGUGCAGCUGGACAUUCUCCUGAGCUAAAAGCAUAUUCAUUUAGUCCCGUCAAACGGAUUAUUACUUUUGCUGCAGCUAACAUAAAGGGAGUUUGACCGUAUUGGCUGACUGAUGCAGGAUUUCACAAGGGUCGGCAACGAUUCUUGUUAAACUCGAUCUCAAAUCAAGUAAGACUACCCGCUGAACUUAAGCAUAUCAAUAAGCGGAGGA